GACGAACGCUGGCGGCGUGCUUAACACAUGCAAGUCGAACGGAAAGGCCCCUUUGGGGGUACUCGAGUGGCGCACGGUUGGGUAACACUUGAGUAACCUGCCCUUUACUUCGGGAUAACUUCAGGAAACUGGGGCUAAUACCGGAUAGGAAUCCUUGCUGCAUGGUGGGGGUUGGUAAGCUUCGGCGGUUUUGGACGGACUCGCGGCUUAUCAGCUUGUUGGGUGGGUAGUGGCUUACCAAGGCUUUUACGGGUACCCGGGCUGGGUGGGCGACCGGCCACAUUGGGACUGAGACACGGCCCAGACUCCUACGGGAGGCAGAAGUGGGGAAUAUUGCACAAUGGGAGGCAGCCUGAUGCAGCAAAGCCGCGUGCGGGAUGACGGCCUUCGGGUUGAAAACCGCAUUCAGCAGGGGCGAAGCUUGUGGUGACGGUACCUGCAGAAGAAGCACCGGCUAACUACGUG
rnacentral:rRNA from 1 species